rnacentral:rRNA from 1 species
UACGGAGGGUGCGAGCGUUAAUCGGAAUUACUGGGCGUAAAGGGCGCGUAGGCGGCUGAUCAAGUCAGAUGUGAAAGCCCACGGCUUAACCGUGUGAAGUGCAUCUGAAACUGGUCGGCUUGAGUAUCGGAGAGGAAAGUGGAAUUCCCGGUGUAGAGGUGAAAUUCGUAGAUAUCGGGAGGAAUACCGGUGGCGAAGGCGACUUUCUGGACGAAUACUGACGCUGAGGCGCGAAAGCGUGGGGAGCAAA